GUAGGUGGCAAGCGUUGUCCGGAAUUAUUGGGCGUAAAGCGCGCGCAGGCGGUCUUUUAAGUCUGAUGUGAAAGCCCACGGCUCAACCGUGGAGGGUCAUUGGAAACUGGAGGUCUUGAGUGCAGAAGAGGAGAGUGGAAUUCCACGUGUAGCGGUGAAAUGCGUAGAUAUGUGGAGGAACACCAGUGGCGAAGGCGGCUCUCUGGUCUGUAACUGACGCUGAGGCGCGAAAGCGUGGGGGGAGCAAACAGGAUUAGAUACCCUGGUAGUCCACGCCGUAAACGAUGAGUGCUAGGUGUUGGGGGCUUCCCACCCUCAGUGCUGAAGUUAACACAUUAAGCACUCCGCCUGGGGAGUACGACCGCAAGGUUG
rnacentral:rRNA from 1 species